rnacentral:ncRNA from 1 species
UCGAGCCGUAUGAAGGGAAACUCUCACGUACAGUUUGUUUUUUUUUUUGGGGGGGGGGAAGGAGCCCGGGCCUAAGUGAAAGUGAAGUGGUCGGCCUACCCAUCCCAAC